CAUAGAACACACCUCAAAGCUGUCCCAGCCAAGGGACGAGAAAGCAUGGAGAAGCAGUUGGAGGUCUAGUUGGUCCAGUUGGAGGCAAGUUUGACUGUCAUCAUUCCUCCAAAGCUUUAUAUUUUACAGAUUUUUGUCCCCCCAAAUAGACUUUCCUUUUCAAUUCCA